rnacentral:snRNA from 1 species
GGAUGUGGGAACCAUUUGGCCUCAGCAUUGAUUGCCAAGGUUGAUUAAGCUGAUCUGGCUAGCUAGGCAGGCAUCCUUUGCCUCUCGCAUCACUCCAUGUGCAACGCUCCCAAAGCUGUGUGCUUAGUGGAAGCAGAUGACUGUCCCAGAUAGAAGGAUUGUUUCAUUCUUUGGUCUGUUGCCUAGCAGCAGAGAUCCUACCCACAUACAGAAGAUCCCAGAUUCAACUGCUGACAUUUCCAGGUAUUGCUGGAAAUGCAGCUUCU